CAGUCGCCGCGGGAAUACGGAGGGGGCUGGCGUUGUUCGGAAUUACUGGGCGUAAAGCGCACGUAGGCGGCUUGGUAAGUUAGAGGUGAAAGCCCGGAGCUCAACUCCGGAAUUGCCUUUAAGACUGCCGAGCUAGCAGGUGAGAGAGGUAAGUGGAAUUCCGAGUGUAGAGGUGAAAUUCGUAGAUAUUCGGAAGAACACCAGUGGCGAAGGCGGCUUACUGGCUCAUACUGGACGCUGAGGUGCGAAAGCGUGGGGAGCAAACAGGAUUAGAUACCCCAGUAGUCCCUGUCUCUUAUAU
rnacentral:rRNA from 1 species